ACGAGUUAUCUGAACCUUCGGGGAACGAUAACGGCGUCGAGCGGCGGACGGGUGAGUAAUGCCUAGGAAAUUGCCCUGAUGUGGGGGAUAACCAUUGGAAACGAUGGCUAAUACCGCAUGAUGCCUACGGGCCAAAGAGGGGGACCUUCGGGCCUCUCGCGUCAGGAUAUGCCUAGGUGGGAUUAGCUAGUUGGUGAGGUAAGGGCUCACCAAGGCGACGAUCCCUAGCUGGUCUGAGAGGAUGAUCAGCCACACUGGAACUGAGACACGGUCCAGACUCCUACGGGAGGCAGCAGUGGGGAAUAUUGCACAAUGGGCGCAAGCCUGAUGCAGCCAUGCCGCGUGUGUGAAGAAGGCCUUCGGGUUGUAAAGCACUUUCAGUCGUGAGGAAGGUAGUGUAGUUAAUAGCUGCAUUAUUUGACGUUAGCGACAGAAGAAGCACCGGCUAACUCCGUGCCAGCAGCCGCGGUAAUACGGAGGGUGCGAGCGUUAAUCGGAAUUACUGGGCGUAAAGCGCAUGCAGGUGGUUUGUUAAGUCAGAUGUGAAAGCCCGGGGCUCAACCUCGGAAUAGCAUUUGAAACUGGCAGACUAGAGUACUGUAGAGGGGGGUAGA
rnacentral:rRNA from 1 species